rnacentral:ncRNA from 1 species
AGCGUUCAUAGCGACGUCGCUUUUUGAUCCUUCGAUGUCGGCUCUUCCUAUCAUUGUGAAGCAAAAUUCACCAAGCGUUGGAUUGUUCACCCAUGCAAGGGAACGUGAGCUGGGUUUAGACCGUCGUGAGACAGGUUAGUUUUACCCUACUAAUGACAAAACGUUGUUGCGACAGCAUUCCUGCGUAGUACGAGAGGAACCGCAGGUACGGACCAAUGGCACAAUACUUGUUCGAGCGAACAGUGGUAUGACGCUACGUCCGUUGGAUUAUGCCUGAACGCCUCUAAGGUCGUAUCCGUGCUGGACUGCAAUGAUAAAUAAGGGGCAAUUUGCAUUGUAUGGCUUCUAAACCAUUAAAAGUUUAUAAUUUAUUUUAUAAACGACAAUGGAUGUGAUGCCAAUGUAAUUUGUAACAUAGUAAAUUGGGAGGAUCAUCGAUCACCUGAUGCCGCGCUAGUUGCAUAUAAAAACAUUAUUUAAUACAAUGACAAAGCCUAGAAUCACUUGUAAACGACUUUUGUAACAGGCAAGGUGUUGUAAGUGGUUGAGCAGCUGCCAUACUGCGAUCCACUGAAGCUUAUCCUUUGCUUGAUGAUUCGA